CUUCUGUCUCAGCCUCUAGUGUCCCUGGGAUUACAUGUGUGAGCCACUGGACCUGGCUCCCCUGAAGACUUUCUGUGGAGCCUGGCACCAGGGGAACCCAAUAUCUAUCCUGUGAAUGAAUGAAUAAAUGCAAGGAAGUAAAUGAAGAGGAAGCGGGCAUCAGAAGGGGCAUGUUUUACAUGAGUAGAUACCAUGCAAAGGCCCUCCUGGGUACCAUCACCAGUGCGGGGCAGCCUGUGAGCCCCUGGAGGGAGGUCUCCCUGACACCCUGCCCACUCCUCCUGGGGCCGAGCAGGAGUCACAUCCAAGGGCUGGGUCAUUAUCUGAUACACGAGUGGGUUGUGCGGAUGAGUAAACAGGGACUGACCCAGAGGUCAGGUGUAACUCAGUCUCAGAAACUGCAUGUGCCAAUAGGAAUCGAAGGGCCAAGGAAUGUGUUUUUCAUUGAUGUCAACUUGCUGCAAAGGACCACACCUGCUUCUCGACCCGGGAACGUGGGAAAGGGAAAGGCCUGGCUUGCUUUGGUGGAGAUGGAGGAGCUGGUAACAGUGGAGGAAUGCCCUUCUUCUGAUUCACAGCGGGGAGGUGCUCUGGGCCCCUGCCACUGCCCGAGGACUUCGGGAAGGGGACAUUUGACCACAGACAGCUGUGAAGGGAGAACUCCAUGUGACCGUGUAGGCCUGCACGCCGAGGAGGGGCCUGGAACAGAUGCGUCCUCCACAGCCUCGGAAGGAACCGACCUGCUGGCACCUUGAUCUUAAAUUCCCGCAUCCAGAACCGGGCGACAAGGCAUUUCUGUUGCUGAAGCCACCCAGACUGCGGCACUUUGCUAUGGCAGCCCUAGUGAAAGAAUGCAGUCACUUUUAUUUCCAAGGGAAACAGAGUUAAAUGAGCCCUCUCAAGAGAUCUCCCUGCAGUGUUUGGGACGUGUCUGUGUGCGUGGACAGGGCCGUCUGCAGGCGGAUCAGCGUGCGGCGCUGGCAGGCACCUCUGUGUCCUAAGCGCAGACAUCCGGUGUCACCCUUCAGGCAUCCAGGGAAGGAAGCUGAUAAAAUGAAGCUCUUCAUGCUCCAGGUUCCGUUUCUUCUUUGGAAUGCUCGAAGGCUUCCCAGCUAUUCCAUGUUCAGGCCUGGCUUUCAAGAGGCUGCAGGCCGGAGUGGGGAAGGUGGCUGAAGCCGGUCCUGGGUCUCUCCGAGCCCCUCAGAGAACUCUCUGGUUGCACUAGAAACCAUCCUUGUGCUGCUGGCAGCAGUUUCCAUGCCGCUGAAAAAUGGCGGCAAAGCCCAAGUGGAGAAGGAGGAUUCUGUAGGCGUGGCUUCCAACCCAAAAGAACAGAAAGCCAGGGUCCACAUUCUGCCCUGAACUGUGAUCUGGGCGGUUCACCUGGAGCACAGCCCUUGUGUUCCUCGCUGCCUCCUCCUGAAGGCCCUGGAGGCCACAUGACGUUGCCUGCCACUGUGGGGGUGACACGCUCCCCUGGCCCGGCCUGGACGGGUCUCGACAGGUGCAGUGGGAGAACAAAGCGUCAUUCUGAGGGUGAGGAAUUUCACUCAGCAGCAAGCGUGUUGCCUGUCCACUUCGUCUCAGACACUGUACAAUAUGCCGUUACAUUUACUCCAUUUCAUCCUUGUGACAAUCCUGUGAGGUGAGGUUACCAGGACCGUCAUCCCGAGGAGAAUCAGCUCUUCCGUACCAAAUCCUGACGAUCACAUGGCGGAGUGAGCUGGAGCGAGGUACCGGCAGAACUCUUAGGGUCUUGCUCCAUUGUCCAGCUAGAGUGCAGUGGCAAGAGGAUGGCUCACUACAGCCUCCAUCUCUUGGGCUUAAGAGCCCUCCCCCAUGGCUCAGCCUGCCCUGAGGCCAGUCCUCAUACAUGGCCCAUGGCUGCCUUCAAGACAUCUCCAAGAAGCCCUCGCUGAGAAGCCCCCUGGUGCACACACAAAAUCAUGUUGCUAUUUAGUUGAAUUUCUUCAUUGUACAGGUUAAGAAAUGGAAGAUGUGACUCUCAAGGAUUAUACACAACUAAAACUGUGUGAAACGGCGAUGAGUACCCGGGCAACAGGGAAGUGGGAAUUUCUCACCAACCCACGUGCCAGGAUCCAGCCUCAACGCUUGUGAGGAUCCAGCCUCAACGCUCUGCACAUCUCCAGUGUGGAACAGCACCAUGUGCCUAAUGAGUUCUUCUCUGACUGAUUGAUUGAUUGAUUACUAAAACACUCAGCACUCCUGGCAAAGCAGUUCUCACACUGUUGAACAAAUUAUCUUUAUGCACUGCAGUCUCUUGAGCUUAGAUGAAGGCAAACUCACUGUAAUCUUCAGAUCAUUUAGCAAUGCCUUGGAAUCA